rnacentral:misc_RNA from 1 species
AAAUUUAUUAUACAUUUAUUUAAUUAAAUUUAAUAAAUACAUUGAAUAAUAUAUAAAAAUUAAAUCAGCAGAAAGAGUGGACCAACGAAUUGUUAAUAAAUAAGUUCCACAAAUAAUCAUCAAAUGGCAAAAUAGGAAAGGAAAACGGCAGCACAGUGGGAAUAUAAUAAAUCAUCACAAUUAAGGAAAAAGAAAUGAAUUUCAGAUUUUCUUAGAAAUACCAUUGCAAAUUUGUAUGAACAGGGCUCUGCCCCAGUCCCCGAUACAGAAUAUGCCUCUUAUACCUCGUCGGAUAUGCCAAAAAUUCGUUGAGGUCUAAUGUCAUUCCAGGGCUCCUUGGUGGUGGUGCUGGCGAGUGAAAACAGGACAAUAUGGAUAGGUGCCUGAGAAUAGGAGUUGCAACAACCACAAAACAUUUCAAAUAGGUUAAGGAAUUCUCAAUCCCCAACCACAGGCGGACCCCAGAUGCCAUCACUUCCGCAAUUGGGUAGGUCCAUUCCAUGAUCUAUACGGAUUACAUUGGAUUUGCCCAGCUUCCUCGGAUGGUUUGUGAAUUAUUGGCCAAUGCCUUCUAGCCUAAUCUAACAUUCAACAGAAUCACUUUCAACCUCCCAUCAAAGUAUUUUGUGGCUGGCAGCAACCACGUUAAUGUAAAAACAGCUCACUAACACAAAAGAAAAAAUCAAUCAUCAGGGCUUUAAAGGCUUAGAGCUAUAGUAUCUUUGCUUCUGCCUCUGCAAAAAAUUAAAAUGUAGCAACAAAUAAUUGUCGACCUCGCUACAAGUAAAUCACAGCACAUUACAAAACUCAAGAUAGAUCCAAGAGUUGUUACAAAUUCAACAAUGUUCAUGACCCAACUCUCCUCCGAACUAUGUUGCUCAAUUCGUGACUUGUAAGCAACAGAAGAAAACUAACCAUUUUUUUUUUCAUUUUAUUGAGACUAAGAUACCAAGUCAUGGAAUAGCUCUCCCAGAAAUGGCUUUUCAUUGUAUUUACCAACCCAAACCCCAAAUUCCAAAUAAAAAGAUAUCAUCCAGCCUAGCUAACUUCUUUGGCUGCAGCGAUAACAGCCUCUGCAGUAAUGCCCAACUCCUUGUAUAUCUUACCAGCUGGUGCACUAGCCCCAAAUCGGUCAAUUCCAAUAGCCUUGCCUUUGGGUCCAACAAUCUUCUCCCAUCCAAAUGUUGAUCCAGCUUCAAUGCUAACCCUAGCUGAUACAGCUGCCGGCAGAACACUUUCCUUGUAGGCAUCUGAUUGCUCAUCAAAAAGUUCCCAUGAUACAAAGGAGACAACUCUUACAGCCUUACCCCCCUUUCUAAGCUCUUCAGCAGCCUUAGCAGCGAUUUCCAACUCAGAACCAGUUCCAAUCAAAAUGACAUCAGGCUUGUUUCCAGAAGAAUUAUCUGAAAUAAUAUAUCCACCCCUUUCGACUCCCUUAAUGGAAGUUCCAGCAAGAUUUGGAAGCUUUUGCCUCGAGAGUGCAAGGAUAGAGGGUCUCUUCCUGUUGAGGACAGCAACCUUGUAAGCACCAGCAGUUUCAUUUCCAUCAGCUGGGCGGAGCAUCAAAAUGUUAGGCAUUGCACGGAAGCUUGCCAAGUGCUCAACUGGCUGAUGGGUUGGUCCAUCUUCUCCGAGACCAAUUGAAUCAUGGGUCAUAACAUAGAUGACUCCAGCCUCACUCAAGGCAGAUAUCCUUAUAGCAGCCCUCAUGUAAUCAGUGAAAACAAAGAAAGUUGCGCAAUAUGGGAUCAGACCAGGGCUGUGUAGUGCAAUACCAUUGCAGAUGGCUCCCAUUCCAUGCUCCCUGACACCAAACCUGACAUUGCGCUCUUCAGGGGUGUCCUUUUGGAAGUCCCCAAACAUUUUCAACAAGGUCAUGUUUGAAGAGGCAAGAUCUGCACUGCCACCAAGAAGUCCAGGGAGUACUUUUGCAAGCGCAUUUAGGUUUGUCUGAGAGAGAUUUCUGGUAGCCUCAGCUGGGCUCUCUGGAGUGUAUGUCGGAAGUGCCUUCUCCCAACCAGAAGGUAGUUCACCAGUGAUGAUAGACUUCAAUUCUGCAGCUUCCUCCUUGUACUUCUUCUGAUACUCGGCAAACUUUGCAUUCCAUUCGGCUUCAAGAGCAGCACCCUCAGCAGCAUGGCGACUCCAAUGCUUCUUAACAUCCUCUGGAGCAUGGAAAGGCUCAUAUGGCCAUGCAAGGUUCUUCCUAGUAGCAUCAACUUCCUUGGCACCCAGUGCACUCCCAUGCACGCUGUAAGAGUUUGCCUUGUUUGGAGACCCGUAACCAAUGGUUGUAGUAACCUACAGAGAAUGGUAAAAGCUCACCAAGAAUUAAAUGAGGUUACUUUAAAAUGUACUAUGACUUUAAGCAUGCCAAUUCAUUGUUCUUUUAGCGCCUAGCAAGAGGACUUUCUACUGAUUUACGUUUUUUUAAAGUCAAUUUUUCACAGCACUUCAAAACACACCAUAACAAGGGGCUUAUAUAACCUUGAUCAAAGUGGGUUUGUCUUUCACAGCCUUGGCCUCCUUAAUGGCAGCACGAAUAUCAUCAUAGCCAGUAUUUCCAUUCUUCACCCAGAUAACGUGCCAUCCAAGACCCUCAAAACGUUUGUCCACACUCUCAGUGAAUGCGAGUGCUGUGUCACCAUCAAUCGAUAUGUGGUUGUCAUCAUAGAAAGCUAUCAGCUUUCCUAGUCCCCAGUGACCAGCAAGGGAACAAGCUUCAUUUGCAAUCCCCUCCAUUUGACAACCAUCUCCCAAUAUAACGUAUGUGUAGUGGUCAAUAAUUUCAUUGUCCGGUUUGUUGAAGCGAGCAGCCAAGUGCUUCUCAGCAAGGGCCAAACCAACAGCAUUUGCAAUACCCUGUCCAAGGGGACCAGUUGUGACUUCAACACCAGGUGUCUCAAAGUUCUCAGGGUGUCCAGGGGUUUUGCUUCCCCAUUGACGGAAACUCGUCAAGUCUUCUUCCUUGACACUAUCGUAACCAGCAAGGUGGAGCAAAGCAUACUGGAGCAUACAGCCAUGGCCAGCAGACAAAACGAAGCGAUCGCGAUUGAACCAAUAAGGAUUCUUCGGGUUAUAUCUCAUAAUUUCAUCGUACAAAAUAUGACCCAUCGGAGCACAGCCCAUUGGCAGACCGGGGUGACCUGAAUUGGCCUUCUCAACAGCAUCAAUAGCGAGAAAUCUAAUUGUAUUGACAGAUUUCUCAACCAAUGAAGUCUCAGCGGUGGCGUCAAGGGUCUCAACUGCAGCUGCGCGGAUUUGGGUUUGUUGGCGCGCGGCAAGGCGGCGGCGGAGAGAGGAAGUGGUUAAUGGGAUGGAUGAAGGGGUGGACUUGAGACCAGAAAAGGAGGGGAGGGAAGGUGUAGAAAGAGAGAGGCGGUGGUGGUCAGAAGAAUGGGCUGAUCCAUGGUGGGAGAUGGCUGGAGCCAAGAGGGCCUGAGAUAGACUUAGAGAUGAAGUGGAAGCCAUUGUUUUCAACACCUUUCUUCAGCCUCUCCUGUCUUCACUGAGCUUCGUUUAUGGAGAUUGGAGAUUGGAGAUAGAGAAUGAGGUGGUUUGAGCUUUUAUUUAUUUUGAG